GACGAACGCUGGCGGCGUGCUUAACACAUGCAAGUCGAACGGAGCACCCCUGAAGGAGUUUUCGGACAACGGAAGGGAAUGCUUAGUGGCGGACUGGUGAGUAACGCGUGAGGAACCUGCCUUUCGGAGGGGGACAACAGUUGGAAACGACUGCUAAUACCGCAUGACGUAUCGGGAUCGCAUGGUCUUGAUACCAAAGAUUUUAUCGCCGAAAGAUGGCCUCGCGUCUGAUUAGCUGGUUGGUGGGGUAACGGCCUACCAAGGCGACGAUCAGUAGCCGGACUGAGAGGUUGGCCGGCCACAUUGGGACUGAGAUACGGCCCAG
rnacentral:rRNA from 1 species